rnacentral:rRNA from 1 species
AAACCAGCACCUCAAGUGGUCAGGAUGAUUAUUGGGCCUAAAGCAUCCGUAGCCUGCUCUGUAAGUUUUCGGUUAAAUCUGUACGCUCAACGUACAGGCUGCCGGGAAUACUGCAAAGCUAGGGAGUGGGAGAGGUAGACGGUACUCGGGAGGAAGUGGUAAAAUGCUUUGAUCUCUCGAUGACCACCUGUGGCGAAGGCGGUCUACCAGAACACGUCCGACGGUGAGGGAUGAAAGCUGGGGGAGCAAACCGGAUUAGAAACCCUGGUAGUCC